rnacentral:rRNA from 2 species
UUGGAGUCUGCAACUCGACUCCAUGAAGUCGGAAUCGCUAGUAAUCGUGGAUCAGAAUGCCACGGUGAAUACGUUCCCGGGCCUUGUACACACCGCCCGUCACACCAUGGGAGUGGGUUGCAAAAGAAGUAGGUAGCUUAACCUUCGGGAGGGCGCUUACCACUUUGUGAUUCAUGACUGGGGUGAAGUCGUAACAAGGUAACCGUAGGGGAACCUGCGGUUGGAUCACCUCCUUACCUUAAAGAAGC